rnacentral:rRNA from 1 species
AACGAACGCUGGCGGCAUGCCUAACACAUGCAAGUCGAACGAGACCUUCGGGUCUAGUGGCGCACGGGUGCGUAACGCGUGGGAACCUGCCCUUAGGUUCGGAAUAACUCCCCGAAAGGGGUGCUAAUACCGGAUAAUGUCUUCGGACCAAAGAUUUAUCGCCUUUGGAUGGGCCCGCGUUGGAUUAGCUAGUUGGUAGGGUAAAAGCCUACCAAGGCGACGAUCCAUAGCUGGUCUGAGAGGAUGAUCAGCCACACUGGGACUGAGACACGGCCCAGACUCCUACGGGAGGCAGCAGUGGGGAAUAUUGGACAAUGGGCGAAAGCCUGAUCCAGCAAUGCCGCGUGAGUGAUGAAGGCCUUAGGGUUGUAAAGCUCUUUUACCCGGGAUGAUAAUGACAGUACCGGGAGUAUAAGCUCCGGCUAACUCCGUG